rnacentral:rRNA from 1 species
CCUACGGGAGGCAGCAGUGGGGAAUAUUGCACAAUGGGCGCAACCCUGAUCCAGCGACGCCGCGUGAGGGAAGAAGUAUUUCGGUAUGUAAAGCUCUUUUAGCAGGGAAGAAAAUGACGGUACUUGAUUAAGAAGCACCGGCUAACUACGUGCCAGCAGCCGCGGUAAUACGUCGGGGGCAAGCGUUAUCCGGAUUUACUGGGCGUAAAGGGAGCGUAGACGGCAGAACAAGUCUGGAGUGAAAUGCCGGGGCUUAACCACGGAACUGCUUGGGAAACUGUGUAGCUUGAGUGCGGGAGAGGUAAGCGGAAUUCCUAGUGUAGCGGUGAAAUGCGUAGAUAUUAGGAGGAACACCAGUGGCGAAGGCGGCUUACUGGACUGUAACUGACGUUGAGGCUCGAAAGCGUGGGGAGCAAACAGGAGUAGAUACCCGAGUAGUC